CGCGUAGGAAUCUACCUGGUAGUGGGGAUAACAUGGAGAAAUCCAUGCUAAUACCGCAUACGUCCUGAGGGAGAAAGUGGGGGACCUUUUGGCCUCACGCUAUCAGAUGAGCCUGCGUAGGAUUAGCCAGUUGGUGGGGUAAAGGCCUACCAAGGCGACGAUCCUUAGCUGGUCUGAGAGGAUGAUCAGCCACACUGGAACUGAGACACGGUCCAGACUCCUACGGGAGGCAGCAGUGGGGAAUAUUGCACAAUGGGCGCAAGCCUGAUGCAGCCAUGCCGCGUGUGUGAAGAAGGCUCU
rnacentral:rRNA from 1 species